rnacentral:tRNA from 1 species
GUCCCAGUAGUGUAGUGGUGAUCAUGGGAGGCUGUCAAUCUCCCGAUCCGGGUUCGAUUCCCGGCUGGGGCG